AUUAGAUACCCUGGUAGUCCACGCCCUAAACGAUGUACACUAGUUGUUGCGAUGCAAGUCAUCGCAGUAAUGCAGCUAACGCAUUAAGUGUACCGCCUGGGGAGUACGGUCGCAAGAUUAAAACUCAAAGGAAUAGACGGGGACCCGCACAAGCGGUGGAGCAUGUGGUUUAAUUCGAAGAUACGCGAAGAACCUUACCUGGACUUGACAUCCUAUUAAUAACAUAGAGAUAAGUUAGUGCUAGUUUACUAGAAAAUAGUGACAGGUGCUGCACGGCUGUCGUCAGCUCGUGUCGUGAGAUGUUGGGUUAAGUCCCGCAACGAGCGCAACCCUCGUCGUUAGUUGCUAACAGUUUGGCUGAGCACUCUAACGAGACUGCCUGGGUAACCAGGAGGAAGGUGAGGACGACGUCAAGUCAUCAUGGCCCUUAUGUCCAGGGCUACACACGUGCUACAAUGGUUAGGACAAUGAGACGCAAUACCGCGAGGUGGAGCAAAUCUAUAAACCUAAUCUCAGUUCGGAUAGCACUCUGCAACUCGAGUGCUUGAAGCUGGAAUCGCUAGUAAUCGUAGAUCAGCAAUGCUACGGUGAAUACGUUCCCGGGUCUUGUACUCACCGCCCGUCACACCAUGGGAAUUUAGUUCACCCGAAGCCGGAAUGCCAAAUUGGCUACCGUCCACGGUGGGCUCAGUAACUAGGGUGAAGUCGUAACAAGGUAACC
rnacentral:rRNA from 1 species